rnacentral:rRNA from 1 species
GACGUAGGGGGCCAGCGUUGUUCGGCAUUACUGGGUGUAAAGGGUUCGUAGGCGGUGUGGCAAGUUGGGAGUGAAAUCUCUGGGCUCAACCCAGAGGCUGCUUCCAAAACUGCCAUGCUUGAGUGUGGGAGAGGCGCGUGGAAUUGCAGGUGUAGCGGUGAAAUGCGUAGAGAUGUGCAGGAACACCCGUGGCGAAAGCGGCGCGCUGGACCACAACUGACGCUGAGGAGCGAAAGCGAGGGGAGCAAACAGG